GCCGCACCUUUUCUAUCCCUUCUCUCUUCUCUCAUUCUAAGGUCAACCACCGGCGAAUACCACGCUCCGGUGAGCCGCGUCGCCGGCAAGACUGCCGCCCCUCCUUUCUUCCUCUCUCCUUUCCCUCCCUAGCGCCACCAGCCGCCGCUGCACAACAGCCAUGCAGUCGACGAGCAAACUAGUGCCGCCGCCACCGCCUCUCAUCAUCUCUUCUAUCCGCUACCAGCACCGAAAGCCAGCCCAACGAUCAGCCGGCAAGAAAUGUAUCCAGUCGUUUUUAAUGGUUCUUGGAACGCUACCAAGGUUUCAAGAAAUAAAUGAGGCGUACCAAGAUGCAAAAAUGGAGAAAAUACAACAUUGUUGGCGUUUGAAGAGGUGCUAAAAGCUAUGGAAAUGACAUCGUUGGUGCCUUUGCCUGGGAGGAUAUUUGAUCUAUUUGACAAUAACUGUGUUGGAACGGUGGACAUGAGAGAGAUAAUAGGUGGCUUCUCUAGACUCAAGUAUUCACUCUUCAUCUUUUCUUUCAGGUGGGCGUGCGUAUCUCAUGUGAAUCGACAUAAACUUUUAAAAAUAAGAUGUUAUUAUGGUGCAAAAUGCAA